GGCUCCCCUCCGUCCUCGUGGGACGGGUCCUGCCUUGGGCCCCAAAAGCCGACCGCGGUUCAUUAGCGCUGCUUCUGGGAUCAUCCCGCAGCCCUUUCCGCGCUCCUUUGCGCUGUCAGGGGAGGGGCCCCGGGGGCCUGGAGAGCCGGUCUCCCCUCCGGGCUGAAGUGCUCCCCGAGGCCGCCCUGGGGUCACAGAUCGCCGCGACCAGAGCCCCAGACCCUCCGGCAAAGGAGACAGCCAAUCUGUCCUCUCUUCUCCUCCUGGCUGCUGGCUCGCAAGAAAGGUUGCGGAACAUCAGGAGGGCAAGGGACACCUCGGGGCAUAGCAGGAGGGUCUUCACUGAGUGCACUCUGUCCCAAGGGACUCAACGUCCAAACAACUGGGCCCCGAACAAAGACAAGGUUUUGCUUAUACACCUCCUCCUAAGUGGCACGAACGCGCACGUACAGAGGCAAGACAGAGGCCGUUAAUCAAACAAAGCCAGGCUUGUAACUCAGGGUUAGCAAUACUCCUUCCCAUGCAGCCCAGAUGGUCAUUACCUGCUUAGUUCAAAGGAGUCUCACAAAGACUCAUCCUGCCACCCCCACCAUGGCAUGUAGCUGGCUACAAGCCAGACCUGCUCAGGCUGUACUGCUUAGAUGCAGAAGCAGGAACCUGCAAUCAUUAACUACAGGAAAAACAGAAACUCCUAAAACGUACAGAGCAAGAGGCAAGGUAUAGUUUACAUAGCAGAGGGGAUGAGAUUCGACAGGGAAGUUCACUUACACUAAAGGAGAGAUAGGAAAACUUACCUCUUUUCAUCCUUAUGCUGAGGGAGUGCUGGGAGAGUCUUCAGAGCCCAUUCCUCUGAGCUCCGGCCCUUAGAUAACAUCAUUGAAACUUUGCGUGUUACUGCCUUUGACAAUGUUGCAUGUACUGAUUACAAGAAUGUUUAUUCUGCAGAUCUUGGACAGAAUGUUCUGUACACAUCUGCUACAUCCAUUUGUUUCAGUGAGUUAUUUAAGUGCAUUUUUUCUCUGUUGACUUUCAGUCUCGAAGAUCUGUC
rnacentral:lncRNA from 1 species